UAACAAGGAUUCCCCUAGUAACUGCGAGUGAAGCGGGAAAAGCUCAAAUUUAAAAUCUGGCGCAAGCCCGAGUUGUAAUCUGGAGAAGCAUUUUCUGUGUCGGACCGUGUACAAGUCUCUUGGAACAGAGCUUCAUAGAGGGUGAGAAUCCCGUCCAUGACACGGACUACCGAUGCUUUGUGAUAUGCUCUCGAAGAGUCGAGUUGUUUGGGAAUGCAGCUCAAAAUGGGUGGUAAAUUCCAUCUAAAGCUAAAUAUUGGCGAGAGACCGAUAGCGAACAAGUACCGUGAGGGAAAGAUGAAAAGCACUUUGGAAAGAGAGUUAAACAGUACGUGAAAUUGUUGAAAGGGAAACGCUUGAAGUCAGUCGCGUUGUCUGGAACUCAGCCUUGCUUGCAUGGUGUACUUUCCAGUUAACGGGUCAACAUCAAUUUUGGUUGGUGGAUAAAGGUAGAGGGAAUGUGGCAUCUUCGGAUGUGUUAUAGCCCUUUGCUGCAUACACUGACUGGGAUUGAGGUCUGCAGCACGCCGUCAUGGCCGGGGGUUCGCCCUACGUAACGUGCUUAGGAUGUUGGCAUAAUGGCUUUAAUCGAC
rnacentral:rRNA from 1 species